CGCACAAAGUCAGGCUAUCACUACAAGGGGAGUCCGACCCUGGCUGUAGAAAAACUACUUGGUGCGGAACUCGAGUCUCUUCCGCCCACCGUGGGGGACCGCACCGGUCAGGUCCAGCGAGGAGCCCCGCCGCGAGUUUGGGGGCGCAGCCGGGCCCGGCGGGGGCGGCGAGCGCGCGUCCCCCCGCCCGCUCAGGCAGCGUCGAGGCGCGAGCAGCUCAGCCACCCUUGCAGAGGGAGCUCUCGACAGCUCUGGGGUCCCUCUGCUCGCAGCCGCAGCAGCGCCGCCUGCGCCACUCGGCGGAGACGGAGACCAGCGGCGGCGGUGCGCGGACUGGGAGCGACCGCCAAGCAGCCGAGCGGCAGGGGUAUGCUCGCAAAGCGGCCGGGAAGCACCUGUGGAUUCUACCCAACCAGCAAUGAAGUUCACCGACCGCAGACUGGAAGAUGUUCUGGUGACCCAGAUAGGAGAGCCUUUGGUACUUACGGGAAUCUGACUCAGGACUGUAUUCUGAACUCCCAUACCUUAGAUGUCACGGACAACAAACGGACCCAGCAUCAAGGAGACAGUUUUUGCUCCAUUCAGCUGAUUGUUCCAUUAUGAGGAUGCCAGUCCAAUAUUGACAUUUUCUCGGGGUUUUGUUGAAAAAGGGAAUCAGAAAUCUAGAUUUUUGUAAUGUAAAAUCUUCAGGUACUUAGAUGUUAGCAACUCAGGUGUUUUUAAACUGUAUGAGCUGAUUAAACCAUAUAUAUGUGUGUGGGCUAUCACUUGGAGGAAAGAGUGAAGAGAAAUUCCAAGGCCAGAUCCUAGACACUCCAGCAUUUAGAAAUAGGAUAAUGGAGAAGGAAACUGAAAGGGGGCAGCCAGGAAGACAGAAAAAAAUCCACAAGCGUGUUGAAUUUGGAAUCCAUGGGCAGAGAAGGUUUCUGUAGGGGGGAGUGGUCAACUGUGUCUAGUGCUGCUGAGAGGUCAACUUGGGCCAGAGACAUGGCUUUUGGAUUGGUCACCUUGGAAUUCAAUGGAGAAUAUUAUUGGCGAAUUUGACUUGAUUCAUGUUGGUAAAUUGAGACUUGGACCUCACUAGAAUGGGUUGAGAAUGAAUGGAAAAGUAAGGAAAUAGAGACAGCACACGUAGGCAACGUGAGAAUUUUGCUGUGAAGGGAGCAAAGAAAUUUAGGGAUAACUGUGGAAAGAUAUGGGCUCAAGGGAAAAGAUGUUUUAAAACAUGGUAGGGUUCUGGAGCAUGUUUAUGUGCCAUUGGGAGUGAUACAGGAGAGAGAAGGCUUGCUUGACCUAUACAGGAGUGAAAUCCAUGAGAGGAUAUAAGGAAACUAGGAGGACUAACCUUGGAUAGGAACAGGAUGCUUCCAUUGUGAUAAUUAGGGUAAUAAAGGUGAAGACUGACGCAAAUGCUGGUGAGGGUAGGGGGAGCAAGUGUACAACUUUCCUAGUAGGACUGCCUUGGCAGCAUUGGGUACCUAUUUGAAGUUUGUGAUCAUGAAUUUAAAGUUAAACCAGUUGGCCUAGUAUGUGGUUUUUUCCAGCAAUAUUUAGCUGCUUGGGUACAGACGUGCAUGAAAGAGAUAAUUUCGUUUCUCAACACCAGGGCCCAAGUUUUCUGGUUCCUAAUCUCAGGUACUUGCCUCAUUAAUCACUUAAUAUUCUAGAAAUGUGUGAAUAUUUGAAAAAUUUACAUGUGACCCCUUUUUCUAGAAACCAAAUGAUCCCAUUUAUCUCUUACGUAUACCCGAGGACUCAAAAAUAAAGGCAAACUUAGUGGAAAUUACCAGAUACCUCUGGAAUAUUUGCAUCUUGCAUUUUCUUCAGCCCUCCACCCCAAACACCUCCUGGUAUACCUAGAAGCUAUGUACUGGGAACAACAAGGCUGACUUGCACUUAAAUUCUUAGCUUCUUUUUCUUUCUGGCACCUUUAAUAAUCUGAUUAAUAAACUUUCCAUAAGACUUUACUUCAAACCAUCUUCCUUAUCUUUAAGAGUAAGCUAUAAGAGUGUCUUCUAAAGCUUUAAUAUGGGCAAAUAUAAGUCAGUGUAUUUAGAUGGAAAAAGCUUCAACUAUAUUUACAAUGAUAUUUACAGCUGCUAUGGCCUGAAUAUUUGUGUCCCUCUCAAAAUUCAUAUUUGAAAUCCUAAUGCUCAAUGUGAUGGUAUUAGUAGAUGGGGCCUUUAGGAGGUACCUAAGUCAUGAGGGUGGAACCCUCAUAAAUAGAAUAAAUUCCUUGUAAAAGAGGCCUAAUAGAGAUCCCUAGUCCCUUCCACCAUGUUAAGGACAUAUCCAGAAGGCAACGGCUGUGAACCAAGAAGGGGGGCUUCAUUAGAAAGCAACCAUGUUGGUACCUUGAUCUUGGACUACCCAGGCUCCUGAACUGUGAGCAAUAAAUUUGUUGUUUAUAAGCCACGAGCCAGUGGUAUUUUGUUAUAGCAGCCUGAGACAACUGUAUUUAUAACAACUAUAUCAAGGGCGCCUCGUUGGCUCAGUUAGUAGAGCGUGUGACUCUUGAUCUCAGGGUUGAAAGCUGGAGCCCCACACUGGGUGUAGAGAUUACUUGAAAGUAAAUCUUUAGGGGUUCCCAGGUGCCUCAGUCGGUUGGGCGUCUGACUCUUGGUUUCCGCUCAGGUGGUAAUCUCAUGAGUCCCAAGAUCGGGCCUGCACGGGGUUCUAUGCUAAGUGGGAAGUCGGCUUGAAGAUUCUCUGCCCCUUCCCCCAUGCCUGCUCGCACUCUCUGAUAAAUAAAUCUUUAAAAAAAAAAAAAACUAUCAAUUGUAUGACCUCUGAAGCAUCAGUUAGAAGCCAAGAGUGGGGUCCAAGUGGCCUUGGAGCCUGCUUUCUGAAGACAAAGAUCCCAGGUGCUAU
rnacentral:lncRNA from 1 species